CACGUAGGGUGCGAGCGUUGUCCGGAAUUAUUGGGCGUAAAGAGCUCGUAGGCGGUUUGUCGCGUCUGCCGUGAAAUCCGGGGCUCAACUCCGGAUCUGCGGUGGGUACGGGCAGACUAGAGUGAUGUAGGGGAGACUGGAAUUCCUGGUGUAGCGGUGAAAUGCGCAGAUAUCAGGAGGAACACCGAUGGCGAAGGCAGGUCUCUGGGCAUUAACUGACGCUGAGGAGCGAAAGCAUGGGGAGCGAACAGG
rnacentral:rRNA from 1 species